AAUGUGGCCAUUUUGACUUCUGCUGCAAUUGCAUCGUUGGCUACCACAAGAACAACCUAACCUUCAGCUGUCAUAAGAUCAGAUAACAUCGUUUGCUCUAUCAGUAUUAACAUUUCCCUUUGUUUUCUCUGUUAUGUUUUAUUAGUUAAGAGGUUGUUACUUUUUCUGUUUUGAUUUUUCUUCAGCCUAUAUAUUUUUACAAAAGACUCUUCAUUGUAUGACUGUUGAGUUUAUUUUGCAUAAUGAAAUUAACCAUUUUUCCUGUUAUGGUAUCAGAGAAAUACAACUCAAUACCUCUGUUUCUUCAUCAUGGCUCGCACACACACCGAAUCUUCUGUUGUAAUCCAAGAACCUCCCAUCCAAGCCAUUCUGAAACAAGAACCUUCCCCAACAAUGGCUCCUGAAGCUCCAUCUGCCCAGAACCUCACCAACAAUGGCGGCCAAACCUCAGCUUUCAAUUGAUUUUCUCCCCUAGAUAAUCUAGAUCGACCUACCCUUGAAGAUUCCAACAACAAUCCAUAUUUCUUGGGUACUGGAGAUCACCCAAGUCUCAUUCUUGCUUCACCUCCACUGACAGGCAAGAAUUUCCAGCAAUGGCGUCGGGAUUUCAACAUCUCAAUCAGAGCCAAAAACAAAUCUGCUUUUCUUAAUGGCACCCUUUCUCGACCCCUUCCAACUGAUCCUUUCUUUAGAUCAUGGCAAAGAUGCAACCAAAUGCUCAUGUCUUGGAUUAUCCAUUCGGUUUCCCCAGAUAUAAAGUGUAGCAUCAUGUUCUUAGACACUGCAGCUGAGAUGCGGGCAGAACUCAAUAAUCGAUUCGAUCAAGGAAACAGCCCUAGAAUUUUUGAGCUACGAGAGACCAUCAUUCGUCUUCAUCAGGGUGAUGAUUCUGUCAGCUCAUACUUCACAAAAUUGAAAGCAAUCUGAGACGAAAUCAAUGAAUUCGACCAAGAACCCCGUGCACCUGUGCCGCCUUUGCUGAUAAUCUUAUUUUUUCAUAAUCAAGAACGGGUUUUGCAAUUACUUAUUGGUCUUAAUGAAUCUUUUCAUGUUGUUAGGGCUCAAGUUCUCUUAAUUGAUCCUCUACCUUCUCUAUCCAAAGAUUUUUCAAUGAUCAUUCAAGAAGAGAGACAAAGAAAACUUGGACCUUCCCAUAACCCUAAUUUGAUUGCUGCAACCAAUACUUCUGCUCCACAUUUACAUAAUCCAAAUUCCAGAACAACGAAAUUACGCCCCACUUGCUCCCAUUGUCAAAAACUAGGACAUCUCAAGGAUAGGUGCUAUUUUCUUCAUGGUUUUCCUCCUGGUUAUGGUCAACAAAGGAAACCAGAACCAAACCACAAACCAUAUACUACCAGACCAACUGAACCAUCUCACAAAUCCUUUGUUCAUCAAGCCACUGCCUCACACACAAAUGUUGCUCCACCCCCAUCGAAUGAAUCAAUUCAGGGACUAAUCUCUCUUCUAAGUCAAUAGCUCCAACACACCACGGCCUCCUUGCCCCCAACUCAGCCCCUUGUCUCACAAUUUACUGGAAACACCACUGAACAAGAGGAUUGGGACUACUGAAUGAAUAGGUCACCUAUAUUUGUUGCAACAAGACCACAGAUUUCUUUCUUCUUGUUCAUUUGUACUUUCUAAGCAUCUUUUCAUAAUGUUCAUAAAUGGCAUACUAGACUUGGCCAUCCAUCUUUACUGAUUACAAAUUCUAUUAAUAAAAGUUUGCAUUUUUCUACUUCA